GCUCCUAUAGUCUAGAGGUUAGGACGUCGGAUUCUGAUUCCGAAAACACUGGUUCGAACCCAGUUAGGAGCU
rnacentral:tRNA from 1 species